UCGAUGCACAUCAUGAAAUGCUUCAUCAAGACAAAGCAGUGGAAUGUCUUGAACCUCAACAAAAUAAUUUUUACAUGUCAGAUGGACUCUGGUAUCGAAGCAGAUGUCAACUGUGGCUUCUCUCCAUCGAAAACCGAUGCCUGGCAACUUGGAGACUAAUUACUCGGCUGACGGAGUUUUUGGCUGUUCUGUGGCAUGUAAUGCAAUCAGCAUGGAAGCAUCGUUGGUCGUUGUAGAUUUUGACAGUGGUGACCAGCUCAGCUGUGUUGGAUGGU